AUAAAGUGGCAGUGGUAAUGCAGUACCAUUAUGGACAACUGAUACAUUGCUUGACAUGAAUAUUCUCCAGGAGGUAUACACUGCGAUGGACUGGCGACCUGUCCAGGGUGUCCCCCGCCUUUCGCCCAAUGUUAGCUGGGAUAGGCUCCAGCCCCCCGCGACCCUGUACACAGGAUAAGCGGUUGACGAUGGAUGGAUGGAUGGAUAGGAGCCACAUCGAUGGCAGCCAUGUUGCAGGAGGCAGUGAUGAGGUGGAGGAGACUAAUGCCAGAUUUCAGCAGACACACCACACUGCAAACUCCAAACAGCCACUGCAGCCACACUGUACACAAAGAGACAUCAUG